rnacentral:rRNA from 1 species
CGUGCUUAACACAUGCAAGUCGAACGGAGAUUCAGCAAUGGAUCUUAGUGGCGAACGGGUGAGUAACGCGUAGGCAAUCUGCCUUCUAGGAUGGGGACAACAUCCCGAAAGGGGUGCUAAUACCGAAUGUUGUAUCGAUCUUCGCAUGGAGAUGAUACUAAAGGUGGCCUCUGAAUAUGCUACCGCUAGAAGAUGAGCCUGCGUCUGAUUAGCUAGUUGGAGGGGUAACGGCCCACCAAGGCUUCGAUCAGUAGCCGGUCUGAGAGGAUGAACGGCCACACUGGGACUGAGACACGGCCCAGACUCCUACGGGAGGCAGCAGUGGGGAAUCUUCCGCAAUGGACGAAAGUCUGACGGAGCAACGCCGCGUGAAGUGAAGAAGGUUUUCGGAUCGUAAAGCUCUUUCGUCAGGGACGAACGUAUUUCUUGUAAAUAAUGAGAGAUAGUGGCGGUACCUGAAUAAGAAGCCACGGCUAACUACGUGCCAGCCGCCGC